rnacentral:rRNA from 1 species
CAGCAGCCGCGGUAAUACGAAGGGGGCUAGCGUUGUUCGGAAUUACUGGGCGUAAAACGCACGUAGGCUGACAUUUAAGUCAGGGGUGAAAUCCCGGGGCUCAACCUCGGAACUGCCUUUGAUACUGGGUGUCUUGAGUGUGGAAGAGGUAAGUGGAAUUGCGAGUGUAGAGGUGAAAUUCGUAGAUAUUCGCAGGAACACCAGUGGCGAAGGCGGCUUACUGGUCCACAACUGACGCUGAGGUGCGAAAGCGUGGGGAGCAAACAGGAUUAGAUACCCGCGUAGUCCCUGUCUCUUAUAC